AAACGCUUGAAGUCAGUCGUAUCUGCCAGGACUCAGCCUUGCUUCUGCUUGGUGCACUUUCUGGUCAGAUGGGCCAACAUCGAUUUUGACCGUUGGAAAAAGGCUUGGGGAAUGUGGCACUUUCGGGUGUGUUAUAGCCCUCUGUCGGAUGUGGGGGUUGGGAUCGAGGAACUCAGCAUGCGCCUUUUGGUGUCGGGGCCUUGGCCCACGUCUACGUGCUUAGGAUGCUGGCAUAAUGGCUUUAAACGA
rnacentral:rRNA from 1 species